AUGUUAAAGAAGAUUAUUUGGUAC
rnacentral:snRNA from 1 species